ACGAACGCUGGCGGCGUGCUUAACCCAUGCAAGUCGAGCGGAAAGGCCCUGCUUUUGUGGGGUGCUCGAGUGGCGAACGGGUGAGUAACACGUGAGUAACCUGCCCUUGACUUUGGGAUAACUUCAGGAAACUGGGGCUAAUACCGGAUAGGAGCUCCUGCUGCAUGGUGGGGGUUGGAAAGUUUCGGCGGUUGGGGAUGGACUCGCGGCUUAUCAGCUUGUUGGUGGGGUAGUGGCUUACCAAGGCUUUGACGGGUAGCCGGCCUGAGAGGGUGACCGGCCACAUUGGGACUGAGAUACGGCCCAGACUCCUACGGGAGGCAGCAGUGGGGAAUAUUGCACAAUGGGCGGAAGCCUGAUGCAGCAACGCCGCGUGCGGGAUGACGGCCUUCGGGUUGUAAACCGCUUUCGCCUGUGACGAAGCGUGAGUGACGGUAAUGGGUAAAGAAGCACCGGCUAACUACGUG
rnacentral:rRNA from 1 species